UCCGUAACACAGUAGUGAACCUAAUCUUAGCUGGAGGAUAAUCAUGCGAAAGUGUGGCUAAUACUCCAUAGUUGUUGGAUGCUGGGAUGCUUUAACAACCAAAGCUACGGCGGCUAAGAAUGGGACUGCGGCCUAUCAUGGCAGUUGUGAGCGUAAGGUACUCACAAACCUGUAACGGGUAGGGGCAUGAGAGUGGAUGCCUCGAGAUGCUUUCUGAGACAUGAAAGCAGGUCCUACGGGACGCAGCCAAGUACGAAAACUUUCCAAUUCCUGAAAGGGUGAGAAGGGAACCUUGAGUGGUUAUGCUUAGCAUAACCCUUUAUUUGCUUACAAAGCAAGAUGAAUAAGUGGUGGGUACAGACGGGUGGCAGCCGACGCGGUCAAUACCCGCGCCACGAAUAGUGACCAACGUAUAUUGGGUCUAAAGCGUUCGUAGCCGGUUUGGCAAGUUCUUGGUGAAAUCUGCUAGCAAACUAGCAGGCUUGCUGGGAAUACUACUACAC
rnacentral:rRNA from 1 species